CAGGGUCCUCUGUGAUGGAAACAGUGGUCUUGCUGGGCAGUUUCACCCUCAACAAAUGAAGAAAGAAGAUUUUUCUCCUGGACGUGAAACUGAAGUCCAGACUGCAAAAUGGUCAGCCCUCCUUUGAGGAAGAAGGGUAUGUAGCCUCACGUUGAGUUGUCUUGCCCCACACUGCAACAGAGGCCUUGAAUUCUGUGUAAGAAGACCUUUGACCCAUGGAUGCUAAUCAGCAAGCCAGAGUCGUUAGCACUUCUUAGUUUUGUCAGCCUCCACGACAGCAUGAGACAAUUCAGCACAAUAAAUCUCUUUCCAUGUAUGUUUAUAAAUAUUCCAUUAGUUCUGUUUCUCUGGAGAACCCUGACUGGUACAAGUGUUAAACCCAGAGGAAAGAGUAACUACUUCCAUCAGUCUGCCAGCCAGACCCAGGCCUCUUAAGGGGCGACUCUUUUUUUUUCAUGAGCCAUUAUACUGUACUCCAUGAUUCACUUCAGAGAUCUUGGUGGGUGCUGGAAACUUGGUUGUGUUAUAUCAAGAUGGAGUGGAUCAGGGAGGAUACUGUGAAAGCAGAUCGAAGGCUCAUUAGAAAGGCCAGUCACAAGGCAGCUUGGAAGACGCUGGUUCUCCUUUUCAGUACAAAGAGAUGAAAGGGAACCGAAAAGUCGGGAUGGGCAACUUGUACAAAGAAGAAGUCAACCAGCUACUUAGAGGAAGAAGAGAUGGAUGGGAACCAUCAGCACCAACUACUCACUGGUAGCCAUAGGAGCAGAAAAGGCCAGAGCGCCACACCUCCAGGCUCCAGGGGCUUCCUGAGGUAUACUUUGUGCAAAGGACCCAUUUCCACUUUUUCAUCAUCUCUUUUUUCUACUGCCUUUCUGUUGGACUGAGAUGGAUAUGUGCUGUGAGGCAUCUCCCUGCACAUGGGACGAACAACAUUCUCUCUCCUUGGUUCUUCAGAUCGACUGAAAGUGAUCUCUUUCAGUAAAUUGCCUAAAUCAAGUUCUGUUUCUGAUGUUGGUAUGAAACCCAGAUCCUUUUGUGGCAUGGCUUUGCCAUUAAGCAACACCUCCGGUCUCAUGUGAAUAGAUUCUAGCCUGUGAGCAGAAAUAUACGGACGCUUCC